ACCAUAUUGGAAACGUUCUGAUCAGUAAUACUGGUCCAAUAACCCAUAAUGUCACCAGAUGGAUCAGAAUCAGGACUCAUCAUUUAUAAAUUUUUUAUUAAGGUUGUUGUUUCCAGCAGAGGAUCAGAGCAUCAGUGUUCAUAAACUCACCUCCUACCUAACCUGCUUUGCUUAGAUAUUUAAGAUGCUAAGAGCAGGAGAAUCUUCCUCUGAUUAUCCAAUCAGCAGCCUCCUCUUCUCUGUGGGCUGCAGGGGCUGAUGGGAGCUUUGGUUCCUCUGCUAGAAACCACGUGGCCCUGGUCUGAUCUCUCAGCUCGUCCUUGUUUGGCCUCAGCUGCAUCAGAGCGCCACUUCUCCCCAGGUUCACCAGAGGAAACUCCACUGCACACAAUGCUUUUCCUCCCAGCUGCUGCUCUGUGCUGGCUGGGUUCAGCGCUGGCUGCCAUGGCAACACACCUGGUUCAGGACCAUUUAACUCUGACCAGGAGAACCGGGCAGAGCGUCUCCUUCAGCUGUGGAGGAACUGAUCAGUGUGGUGGAAAUGUUGUAACCUGGUACCAGAAGAAAGAAACAGAAACAUUCAGAGCUAUUCUCUAUAUCUCCAGUGGUGGUAGCCCAACAAAACCUUACAAUCAUCCUCAGCAAGAUGAUUUCUCAGCUGAGAGAGAUCGGAGCAGCAGUUCGUUGAAGAUCAACAAAGUUAAACUGGAUCAUUCAGCCUCCUACUACUGUGGCUGUAGGAAGCCUGGUUCCCACAGUGAGAAAUGAUUCCUUCAGCCUGAACAAAAACCUCCAGAUGAUCAGAUGUCAGUUUGUGACAUAGAGAGCAGUAAACCACAGCCCAGGUUCACUGAUUUCACCUCCAUCUCACACAGAGA